AGCAGGCAUUUGCUCCCGCUGUUUCUGCUCCUGGGUAACAAUCAAGAUGGUACAUGCUGAAGCCUUUUCUCGUCCUUUGAGUCGGAAUGAAGUUGUUGGUUUAAUUUUCCGUUUGACAGUAUUUGGUGCAGUGACAUACUUUACUAUCAAAUGGAUGGUAGAUGCAAUCGAUCCAACCAGGAAGCAAAAAUUAGAAGCUCAGAAACAGGUCACUUGGAGUGAUAUAGCAGGUUUAGAUGAUGUCAUUACGGAUCUGAAAGACACAGUCAUCUUACCUAUCAAAAAGAAACAUUUGCUUGAGAAUUCCAGGCUUCUGCAGCCUCCAAAAGGUGUUCUUCUCUAUGGGCCUCUAGGCUGUGGUAAAACGUUGAUUGCCAAGGCCACUGCCAAAGAAGCAGGCUGUCGAUGUAUUAACCUUCAGCCUUCGACACUGACCGACAAGUGGUAUGGAGAAUCUCAAAAAUUGGCUGCUGCUGUCUUCUCCCUUGCCAUAAAACUACAACCAUCCAUCAUCUUUACAGAUGAAAUAGACUCCUUUCUACGAAACUGUUCAAGUUCUGACCAUGAAGCUGCAGCCAUGAUGAAAGCUCAGUUUAUGAGUCUCUGGGAUGGAUUGGAUACUGAUCACAGCUGUCAGGUCAUAGUAAUGGGAGCUACCAAUCGUCCUCAGGACCUUGACUCUGCUAUAAUGAGAAGAACGCCUACAAGAUUUCACAUCAACCAGCCUGCUUUAAAACAGAGAGAAGCAACCUGAAACUCAUCUUGAAAAAUGAAAAUGUGGAUAGGCAUGUAGACCUGCUAGAAGUGGCCCAGGAAACUGAUGGCUUUUCAGGAAGUGACCUAAAAGAGAUGUGUCGAGAUGCUGCCCUCCUCUGUGUUAGAGAAUAUGUUAAUUCUACAUCAGAAGAAAGCCAUGAUGAAGAUGAAAUUCGGCCUGUUCAACAGCAGGACCUGCAUCGGGCAAUUGAAAAGAUGAAGAAAUCAAAGGAUGCAGCAUUUCAGAAUGUUUUAACACAUGUUUGUUUAGAUUAAGAGUAAAGAUCAUUUGUACAGUUCA